rnacentral:rRNA from 1 species
CUACAGGGGUUUCUAAUCCCUUUCGCUACCCUAGCUUUCGUCCCUGAGUGUCAGUUACGGCCCAGUUGAGCGCCUUCGCCACUGGUGUUCUUCCCAAUAUCUACGCAUUUCACCGCUACACUGGGAAUUCCCUCAACCCCUACCGUACUCUAGCCUACCAGUUUCCACCGCCUUUCCAGAGUUGAGCUCUAGUCUUUGACAGCAGACUUGAUACGCCACCUGCGGACGCUUUACGCCCAAUAAUUCCGGAUAACGCUUGCAUCCUCCGUAUUACCGCGGCUGCUGGCAC